UACGGAGGAGGCAAGCGUUAUCCGGAAUUAUUGGGCGUAAAGCGUCCGCAGGUGGCACUUCAAGUCUGUCGUCAAAGACUGGGGCUUAACCCUGGAAAGGCGGUGGAAACUGAAGCGCUAGAGUGUGGUAGGGGUAGAGGGAAUUCCCGGUGUAGCGGUGAAAUGCGUAGAGAUCGGGAGGAACAUCAAUUGCGAAGGCGGCUAUCUGGGCCAAAACUGACGCUGAAGCACGAAAGUGCGGGGAGCAAACAGG
rnacentral:rRNA from 1 species